UACGGGGGGGGCAAGCGUUGUUCGGAAUUACUGGGCGUAAAGGGCUCGUAGGCGGCCAACUAAGUCAGACGUGAAAUCCCUCGGCUUAACCGGGGAACUGCGUCUGAUACUGGAUGGCUUGAGUUUGGGAGAGGGAUGCGGAAUUCCAGGUGUAGCGGUGAAAUGCGUAGAUAUCUGGAGGAACACCGGUGGCGAAGGCGGCAGUCCU
rnacentral:rRNA from 1 species